GCGCCGGUAGCCCAACGGCAGGAGGCAUCGCGCUCAGGACGCGAGCAGUGUGAGUUCGAAUCUCACCCGGCGCACCA
rnacentral:tRNA from 1 species